rnacentral:rRNA from 1 species
AUGAACGCUGGCGGCGUGCCUAAUCCAUGCAAGUCGCGCGAACAGACGAGGAGCUUGCUCCUUCGACGUUAGCGGCGGACGGGUGAGUAACACGUAGGUAACCUACCUAUAAGACUGGGAUAACUUCGGGAAACCGGAGCUAAUACCGGAUAAUAUUUCGAACCGCAUGGUUCGAUAGUGAAAGAUGGCUUUGCUAUCACUUAUAGAUGGACCUGCGCCGUAUUAGCUAGUUGGUAAGGUAACGGCUUACCAAGGCAACGAUACGUAGCCGACCUGAGAGGGUGAUCGGCCACACUGGAACUGAGACACGGUCCAGACUCCUACGGGAGGCAGCAGUAGGGAAUCUUCCGCAAUGGGCGAAAGCCUGACGGAGCAACGCCGCGUGAGUGAUGAAGGUCUUCGGAUCGUAAAACUCUGUUAUUAGGGAAGAACAAACGUGUAAGUAACUGUGCACGUCUUGACGGUACCUAAUCAGAAAGCCACGGCUAACUACGUG